rnacentral:SRP_RNA from 1 species
UAUAUUUGCCAUCGCGAUGGGAGUAGGCGAACCAAGUCAGGACCGGGAGGUAGCAGCUUUAAACUGAUCUCACAUGUGCGGUGGUUUUUAUUUAGGU